rnacentral:misc_RNA from 1 species
UGUGAUGAAAUGCGAGUACCUCCCUCGGCGGCCUUGGCCGUCCUCGUAGCCGCAUCCUGGACACUAGCAUGGGUCAUGGGUUUGCCUUUCACCUGUUGAAUGGGUCAAGCAUGCAAAGCGUUACGUCGACCUCUGUGCGGCUGUCCUCUUGGACACGAUCACAUGGGUUGUUUGAGAUCAAAACAGGUGCCUAGGCACCAAUUGGUCUGAUUCUCAAACAUACCCAAUCCACCAGGUGGCCACAUGAUUGCUUUUGGAUCAGUCGCUUUAAGAGUCCCUUUGAGAUAAAAAAUGGUUGUCCGGUUCCUUCAAGAUCAAAAAACGGGUGCCUCGGUGCCUGGUUUGUUCGAGAUAAAAGACGGAUGC